UGUCUUUGGGAGAGACAGAAAGUAAAGAAGACCCAGGUUAUGUACGUCUGGUCAGUUCUACAGAAGUUACAAAUUACAGAUGACUGCACUGUAAAACCAUGUGGACAAAUGAGAAACCGUUAUUAAUACUGCUGAGGCGAGGCACUGAUGGGCAUCUUGCUUAUUGGUAGGUAUUAAAACUGUGCUUUACAUUUUAAAAAUAGUUCAUAUUUUAACGUUGCACUCUUUCUAGAAGUUAUAAAUAGCAAGUAAGCUAACAUAAAAGCAGCUACGAUUUGUAAUUACUCAAUGUUAGAUGAGGUUCACUAACUGUCUAGGCGACAUGUCAAGCCAGUGAGUUAGCAAUGUCCAUUUUUCACUUUACAUAGUGUGACAUUUUAGCUGUAUGUUAGUACAUGAAGUCCAUGGGCUCUGGUGAGGGAUUUACACCAGCAGCGACGGUGUAAAUCGGGUGGGGAGAAGAGCACGCCAUGUCGGUGGAGCAUCAGACAGAGCAAGUGGGAGACGGGUCAGAGGUCGCGGAGUCUGUCCAACUCCUGACCAUCUCAGCAGAGAACAUGGCGUGUGGAGAAUAUAAGAUCAGAGGUUGCUGCUUUUGAACAUGAGGACAUUCAGCAGUUGAAUUUACAGCAGACACAACAAGUGUUGGAAGCAACGUUUGGAACGGGAACCAGGCCUGAUUUUUGAGGUACUCAGCUUCUCCAUCAUCACCUCCUGUCCCCAGCCAACCAUCCUGGUGCAUCUACCAGAGCUGCAGAGAGAGGCCUUACAUGGUCAUGAAUGACAGAGCAAAGACACGCCUCCCUGCUCUGAUUGGUUGCUUCUGUUCUGGAGCUGUGUAUUUUUCUAAAUGCUAAUAGGGGCUCAGAAAGGGCCAGGGGGACUUGUUCUUUUUUCAAAUAUUAUCUCUCUCAUCUUCUAUUUUCAAGACAUGGUGAGAUUUUUCACAUAUGUGAAAAUAAAAUAUUUUCAAAAAAGUUAUUACAUACUUUAAUGCAAAUCGUCCUCACCAAGACCAAGUUACAAAACAAGUCAUUUUAUCUUGUUGAUGCAUAACACUGGUCUACAGCCAGAAAAUGGUCUGGGGCUUUCCAACAGUUUUAGGGUCAUGUUGAUGAGCUGAAUCCAAAAAUCACAUUAGUUUUGCUCAACCAGGUCAACUGAACUAUGGAGCAACAUGAGCAUCAAAAUGCAGGACUUGUUCUCAUUUCUAGAUCGGUUUCCUGAGAAUCUGAGAUCAAUGAGUGAUGAGCAGGAGGAGAGAUUCCAUCAGGACAGGAAAGAGACGGAGAAUUUUACACAAUGAAGAUGUAAUAAUCAAUUCACAUGUACCAGUGAUUAUUAUUCAAUUUACAGAAAUCCAAGUUUGUAACAUUUAAUUAAUACACUCUGUUAAAAAACAAUUUUUUUUUUCUCCUUAAACCUCUUUGGAUGAGAAAUAUUAACAGAUAUGGACUGAUGAUGUCACAAAAAUGUCAUCAAUUUAAUCAGAAGAUCAGAUGUCUCUAAAUCAGAUUAGAAUAAAAACCUGAGCUGGUUGAGAAAAAUGGAUGUCAUUUUUGGAUUCAGGGGUGCAAAAUAGUCCCAAUUCAGUUG